CAGAAGCCACGGGAAUACGUAGGUGGCGAGCGUUGUCCGGAAUCAUUGGGCGUAAAGGGAGCGCAGGCGGGCAUGUAAGUCUUUCUUAAAAGUUCGGGGCUCAACCCCGUGAUGGGAAAGAAACUACAUGUCUUGAGUACAGGAGAGGAAAGCGGAAUUCCCAGUGUAGCGGUGAAAUGCGUAGAUAUUGGGAGGAACACCAGUGGCGAAGGCGGCUUUCUGGACUGCAACUGACGCUGAGGCUCGAAAGCCAGGGGAGCGAACGGGAUUAGAUACCCGUGUAGUCCCUGUCUCUUAUACA
rnacentral:rRNA from 1 species